GCGACCCCAGGUCAGGCGGGACUACCCGCNGAGUUU
rnacentral:rRNA from 1 species